GGGGAUUUAGCUCAAUGGCAGAGCGCUUGCCUAGCAAGCGCAAGGCCCUGGGUUCGGUCCCCAGCUCCG
rnacentral:tRNA from 1 species